rnacentral:rRNA from 2 species
GCGGCGGACGGGUGAGUAACACGUGGGCAACCUGCCUAUAAGACUGGGAUAACUUCGGGAAACCGGAGCUAAUACCGGAUAAUUCUUUUUUACACAUGUAGAAAAGCUAAAAGACGGUUUACGCUGUCACUUAUAGAUGGGCCCGCGGCGCAUUAGCUAGUUGGUGAGGUAACGGCUCACCAAGGCCACGAUCCAUAGCUGGUCUGAGAGGAUGAUCAGCCACAUUGGGACUGAGACACGGCCCAAACUCCUACGGGAGGCAGCAGUGGGGAAUAUUGGACAAUGGGCGCAAGCCUGAUCCAGCCAUGCCGCGUGAGUGAUGAAGGCCCUAGGGUUGUAAAGCUCUUUCACCGGUGAAGAUAAUGACGGUAACCGGAGAAGAAGCCCCGGCUAACUUCGUGCCAGCAGCCGCGGUAAUACGAAGGGGGCUAGCGUUGUUCGGAUUUACUGGGCGUAAAGCGCACGUAGGCGGACUUUUA